AGCUCCAAUAGCGUAUAUUAAAAUUGUUGCGGUUAGAACGCUCGUAGUCGAAUGUUUGUUCAAGCCCUACGGUCCUCCCCAGUGGUGUGUACACAGUUUGGCUUGGGCACCUCUCUGAUACAAGCGCUUGCAGUUAAUUCUGUGGUGCAUUGUUCAGAACUUUUACUUUGAGGAAAUGAGAGUGCUUCAAGCAAAUUUGUGUUGUGAAUACGUUAGCAUGGAAUAAUAACAUGGGACAUCAUCCUGAAUGUGUUGGUUUUUGGGUAGAUGUAAUGAAGGUGGGGAUAGUUGGGGGCAUUCGUAUUUAACUGUUAGAGGUGAAAUUCUUGGAUUUUUUAAAGAUGGACUACUGCGAAAGCAUCUGCCAAAGAUGUUUUUG
rnacentral:rRNA from 1 species